UUCAGGGAUAUCCCAAGCGUCUAAUCCA
rnacentral:piRNA from 1 species